UUUGUUCAACAACAGUACAAUGACCGAAAGAACAUCAGUUCAAAAAAUAUGCAGGAGGUUUGGGAGCCAAACAACUGGUAUUUUGUUGUGUUUUAAUUUUUGGGUGCAUGAUUGAACAAAGAGAGAGAAAUAAUGUAUGACAUAUAUACUGUUGUUGCAGGAGGUUCAAAGAUUGUCGUGGAGCAAGUUCAAGAGUUUGGUUUCAUGUGGAAAAAUGUGAUUUUUUGGUCAAGAUUUUGCAUGAUUGAUAGCCAUCAGUGGCAGCCGGCGAGCAGUUCAAGCCCGCAUGCGCGAGCCGCCCAUCGUCUUCCACACGUGAUCCUAUUGCUUGAUGAUGCUUGACAUGAACUGAACUAGCUGGAUGGAAUUGUUUUUCUGCAAUGUAAUGUAAAUGAAUAUGGUAAACAAACUGGGACACCAAAUUGUUUUAGAGGUGGAGUUUGUGCUCCAGUUGAGUUCCAGCAGAUUGUGGCUGCUGGUUGUUUCAAGUGAAGGUGGUCGGGCAUUACUUGUGUAGGACUGAAUGAAUCUUGUAUGUAAAGGAAACUGGAUCAAAUAGUCGUCAGUGUUAAGAUUUAAAAUUACAUUUUGAUCCAUUCUCUUGUG
rnacentral:lncRNA from 1 species